AUGUUUCAGAGGCAGCUGAGGACAGGAAGGCAAAAGAAGGAAUGGAGGCAGGAUCAUCAGAGUUACUGUUUCCUCUUUGGUACGUCUGUGCCUGCACACACUCUCCAGUCUGAUCAAAAACCAUGGAGAAUUCUUAUGGUUGGAAUCAGAAGUGUGAAGUCCCAAAUGAAACCAGAAAUGAGAGCAGAGUACCCUGAGGGGUUGCUCAGCCUCCCUGGUGUCCUCCAGGACAUGAAAGACCUCCAGGCCUGCAUGCUCGGAAGAUUCAGAAUAUUUAGAGAUCGGCAGAUGGUUGGUUGAAUUUCUUUUACCUUUUGGGGGAAUGAAAUGUUCUUGACUUGUGGACAAAGCUCUUAGGCUCCAUUUAAGCACCUUGUUAAGACCAUUGGAUGAAUGUUGUUGUGCAAAACAAGGAUCCACAUGGAGACUGCCACUGAGGCCUGCCUAGGCGGUAGGCUUAGCUGGAUAGAAAGUGGUCAGGGGUUUCUUUAACUUUAUUUAAGAAUGAAAAACACAAAAUUGGGAAGGAAAGUGGACUUCAUCUCCCUAAAUGGAAUGACAGUAGAACAGAAAAACCUUUUUCUAUCUCCAGAAGGGAAUUGUGGCAGGAGAAUAGGAGCUUUACGGGGAAUUACUGGUAUUACCAAAGGCUUUUCAAAAUAGACUUGAAAUGAAUAGCUGUGCGCUCGUUUUAUUACUGCCUUGUGAGUUUACAUUUUGUUUUUGUGCGGUGUUUUUCUCCCCCUUAUGAGACGGUUGCUAGGGCUUGUGAGCAAAUAACCUUUAUUGUGUUGAAUUUGGGACUGAACAUAAUUAUCUCAUAAUUUGGGUUCAGAGUGCCAUUUUUGACAGUUGUAUUAUGCGCUUUUAGAGGAAAAUUGAGGCCACAUGCGGUAAGCUGCUUCCUAUUCAGUUGCCCUUCAAGUUAUGGUGUCUCAGCUUUCCCUUCCCCCAUUACUCGGCAGCACUGCAGCCUCGGGACCAGAUGCUGCCGGAGGCAAUCAUAUGAUCCAGUGUGGGUACCACCACACUCCAGCACCAUCUCCUCUGAAAAGACCCUGCCCCUGUCAGUGCCUUUUCCCGGAUGACUCUGUGGACAUGCAUCUCUAGGGAUGCUCCUAUCAGGAAAGUUGUGAGUCAACAGAAGUUUUGUCAAUUGCAUCAAUGUUCCUAGCAACCUCCUUGACCAUUUCAGAGAUGCUUCAUCUUCAUUUCUGACUUCGUCUGUCUUGUGGGUGGCACUUUUUCCCUAACCUGUCCUACAGCAUUUCUAUAAAGGAGGGUAAUGCACUGUGAACAAGCUCUGAAAUGUACCAGGAGAGCACACUGCUUACAGAAAUCCUUAAAUAACCGUCUUUUUUUUUUUUUUUUUUUUUUCCUGUUCCUUCCUAUUGCCUAGCAGACAUUUGGGUUCACCUAGAAGCAGGUCGCGAGAAAAGAGUUAAAGGGCAGAUGGUUUAUUAGAGAAGGCACGCCAGGAAACACCAGUUGUUGUUGUUGUUCGUUCGCUCCUUUGGGUUCGAUUGUUUGUUGCUGCAGCAUGCCAGGGUUCCCUGUCCUUCACUGUUUCCCAGAGUUUGUUCAGAUCCGUGUCCAUUGAGUCGGUGAUGCCAUCCAACACCAGGAGGAGAGGGAGAGUAGAUACAGGCAAGGGGAGGAAGUCAAUAUGAGGUGCAUCUUGGAGCUGGUUCCUACUUAGGCAAGGUAGUGGGCCUCGAUCCUUCCAGGGAUCUCUAGGAAGCAGUGUAAAGACACCCCUCAGAUCUGUGCCAUGUGAGGGUGAGGAACUAGGGUUAUUUAUAUCAGACUCCUUCAGUCACUGGUGGAGGGCUGCUUCUGGGGGAGAGAGUGGAUGAUAUUUAAUCAGUUCCUAGCACUCUACCUUCUACCCAGGCAGGGCUGUCGAAAUCCAAGACAGCUCUUGGAUGGUAAAUGCUGGCAAAUGGAAGCCAGGCCAAAUGUAAGUGGCUGUGGGCAGGACACCAGCGCAUCUGCUACAUUCAGCUUCUCCGUCAUGCCUGGGAGUUACUACACCCACUCUUCUUCAUCGUUAAGUGUCUUCUAGCUGAAUUCUCUGCAAAUCAGAAAAAGGUUCUUAGAAACUUAUUAUUAGGAAAGUGAAGUUUUCCUUCAAAAUAUUUUCUUUAUAUAGAAACACUAGGAAAUGGAACCAGUGGCCACAGCCAAGGCUUAACAUCAAGCCUUUUCAAAAUGCUCCAUCCAUCACUUGCAGUGGAUAUUUUUUUAUUGGGGUAUAGUUGCUUUACAAUGUUGUAUUAGUUUCUGCUGUACAGCAAAGUGAAUCAGCUAUAUAUAUUUAUAUCCACUCUUUUUUUGGAUUUCCUUCGCAUUAAGGUCACCACAGAGCACUGAGUAGAGUUCCCUAUGCUAUAUUCAGUUGUUGUUUAGUUGCUAAGUCACGUCCAACUCUUUUGCAACCCCAUGGACUGUGGCCCACCAGGCUUCUCGGUCCAUGGGAUUUCCCAGGUAAGAAUACUGGAGUGGGUUGCCAUUUCCUUCUCCAUGGGAUCUUCUUGACCCAGGGAUUGAACCUGUGUCUCCUGCCUUGGCAGGCAGAUUGUUUCCUGCUGAGCCACCAGGGAAGCUGUGCUAUACAGUAGGUUCUCGUUAAUUAUCUGUUAUACAAAGUAAUGUGUACAUGUCAAUCCCAAUCUCCCAGUUCAUCCCACCCCUUUCCCCUCCUUGGUAUCCAUAUGUUUGUUUUCUAUGUAUCUUAGACAAUUUUUGAAAGUGUGUGCGUAUCUCUGGGUACCUCAUGAACCAUGGUGUGGCAGGCAGACCAUCUAUAACUUGCCCAAGUAGGCAGGGCUCCAACAGAGGUAUGGGAUGCUGUCCUUUGCAGCUGGUACUUACAAAACACCGACAACUGAAGAGAGUGAUUAAACCCAGGCAUCCUAGUAUCUAUAUCUUGGAGGCCCUGGAGCCUCACGUUCCCAGUGAGUCCUGCUUUGUCUUUAUCCGUAAUGGCUCUCUGGCAGCUGAACAAACCAUGCCUUGGGUGGUUUCCUACUAUUUUGAGGGUUGAAGAGUCUACGUUCCUAACAUAGCAUCAGAUGAGGAUCUUGGUGCUGAGAAUUAAGCUUGUGGAGUCUCUAUUGCACAGAGAUACUACACAUGAGUGGAGCUGAACUUCCCUCACAGGCAUACUGAUGGACUGGCAUUUGGCAAAAUGGACUGCAGGUCAGUUCUGCAUCAGAUCUGCCUAAGUGGCAGCCUGUAUCAGAUCCAGGGACCAUUUCUAUGCUGACUCCUCAUUCUAGUCCCUGAUGUGUAAUUUGUGAGGUUUCAGAGCUAGAAAAAAACUUUAAAGAUCAUCCAGCCAACCUGUUUUGCUGAUAAGGACCCUGCAUUCCAGCAUGGUUGAGUCACUAAACCCAAAGUCAAACAGGGAGUCAAGAGCUGGGCUGAAGGGAGAGAAAGCCAGUCUCUUCUCACUUCCCAUGCAGUUAAUAAAGCAGCAGAGGUUCUCA
ensembl:lncRNA